rnacentral:rRNA from 1 species
AUACGGAGGGGGCUAGCGUUAAUCGGAAUUACUGGGCGUAAAGGGUACGUAGGCGGUUAAAUAAGUUGGAUGUGAAAGCCCCGGGCUCAACCUGGGAACUGCAUUCAAAACUGUUUGACUAGAGUGUAUGAGAGGUUGGCGGAAUUCCAGGUGUAGCAGUGAAAUGCGUAGAUAUCUGGAGGAACAUCAGUGGCGAAGGCGGCCAACUGGCAUAACACUGACGCUGAGGUACGAAAGCGUGGGGAGCGAACGGGAUUAGAAACCCGAGUAGUCC